UGAACUGGAUGCCAGAUUGAGUCUGCCCCGU
rnacentral:piRNA from 1 species